rnacentral:ncRNA from 6 species
UAAUUGAAGAGUUUGAUCAUGGCUCAGAUUGAACGCUGGCGGCAGGCCUAACACAUGCAAGU